rnacentral:rRNA from 1 species
GAUGAACGCUGGCGGCGUGCCUAAUACAUGCAAGUCGAGCGAACGGACGAGAAGCUUGCUUCUCUGAUGUUAGCGGCGGACGGGUGAGUAACACGUGGAUAACCUACCUAUAAGACUGGGAUAACUUCGGGAAACCGGAGCUAAUACCGGAUAAUAUUUUGAACCGCAGGGUUCAAAAGUGAAAGACGGUCUUGCUGUCACUUAUAGAUGGAUCCGCGCUGCAUUAGCGAGUUGGUAAGGUAACGGCUUACCAAGGCAACGAUGCAUAGCCGACCUGAGAGGGGGAUCGCCGACACUGGAACUGAGACACCGUCCAGACUCCUACGGGAGGGCGCAGUAGGGAAUCUGCCGCAAUGGGGGAAAGCCUGACGGAGUAACGCCGCGUGAGUGAUGACAGUCUUCGGAUCGUAAAACUCUGUUAUUAGGGAAGAACAUAUGUGUAAGUAACUGUGCACAUCUUGACGGUACCGAAUCAGAAAGCCACGGCUAACUACGUG